UGGGGAAUAUUGCACAAUGGGCGCAAGCCUGAUGCAGCCAUGCCGCGUGUAUGAAGAAGGCCUACGGGUUGUAAAGUACUUUCAGCGGGGAGGAAGGGAGUAAAGUUAAUACCUUUGCUCAUUGACGUUACCCGCAGAAGAAGCACCGGCUAACUCCGUGCCAGCAGCCGCGGUAAUACGGAGGGUGCAAGCGUUAAACGGAAUUACUGGGCGUAAAGCGCACGCAGGCGGUUUGUUAAGUCAGAUGUGAAAUCCCCGGGCUCAACCUGGGAACUGCAUCUGAUACUGGCAAGCUUGAGUCUCGUAGAGGGGCGUAGAAUUCCAGGUGUAGCGGUGAACUGCGUAGAGAUCUGGAGGCAUACCGGUGGCGAAGGCGGCCCCCUGGACGAAGACUGACGCUCAGGUGCGAAAGCGUGGGGAGCAAACAGG
rnacentral:rRNA from 1 species